rnacentral:lncRNA from 1 species
UGUCUAAAACACCAAAUUUUAUAAAUUUUAAAUAAACAUAAUUUAAAUAGCUACAUGUGGCUGGUGUCUACCAUAUUUAGAGAGUACAGGUCUAUUCCAAGGAACAGAAUUAUUAGAUAAUCAGGUAUGCAUAUUUAAGCAUUACUAGCUAAUGUAGAAUUGCUCUCCAGAAUAGACUCCAAUGUUUGUUUUCAACUGCCUGUAAUAUGCAAUGAUCUAUUUCCCCAUCUCCUUGGCUAUAUACUUAGUUUUAUUAGUUUAUACAUUUUUUAGAUAAUUUGAUGAGUAUAAAAUUGUAUCUCAUUAACGGUUGAUUUGUAAUUCCCUUUGUGGUGCUGUAAUACUCAUACAUCUAUCAAGGACUCUUUUUUCCUCCCUUUAAAAUUAUCUACUUAUUUUUUCUUUGUAAGCGUCAUCUUUUUUUCAUUGUGGGAGUUCUUCAUAAACUUGUCAUUUUACUUGAUAAAAGGUCAUACUUAAAAGUCUGAGGCUUCUCAUUCACUUGAAUCUGUAGUCUUUUGUUACAUAGUUGUUUAAAUUUUUGAUACAUAUCUAUAUUUUCCCUCAUUGUUUCAAGUGUUAGUGCCUUUCCUAAGGAACCUUUUCUUAUUAUGAUGUCACAAAUGUAUUCUGCUAUGUCUACUGGGAGAAUACACUAGUGGGGAUAGUUCUGUGUAUACAGUGAUUAAGCACAUAGGUUCUGGAGCCAGUCUGUUUCUUUCAAAAUCACCUCAUUGCUUUUGAAGAAUCAGGGAAACCCCCAUGAGACUACAGGUGUGAAGCAAGAUAGAAGCAUCAGUGCAAAAGAGAUUCUCUUACUGAGAUACCUUGGAACAUGGUUUGAAUAAUAUUGCUCUAACUUCUUUCAUGUCAGGAAGCUCUGAGAUGCAGAAACACAGAAAGGAAGAGGAUUAGCAACUUUCCCAGAUCUGAGUUGAGCUGAGAUUUGAGUCAAGGCAAUAUUGCUUCUGGGGCUGUAACAACUACAUUUUAUUGUCUCCUGAACAGAUACUUCCUUUUCUUACUUAAUAAGAAUAGACCUUGGAGGUCUGGACCUGGACAUGAACGUACACUUUUCUAAAGAAGAUAUACACAUGGCCAACAAGCAUGUGAAAAAAAGCUCAAUAUCACUGAUCAUUAGAGAAAUGCAAAUGAAAAUCACAAUGAGAGACCAUCUCACACCAGUCAGAAUGGCUAUUAUUAAAAACUCAAAAAAUAACAGAUGCUGGCGAGGUUGCAGAGAAAAGGGAACACUUAUACACUGUUGGUGGGAGUGUAAAUUAGUUCAACUAUUGUGUAAAGCAAUAUGUCAAUUCCUCAAAGAGCUAAAAAAGAACUACCAUUGGACUCAGCAAUCCCAUUACUGGGUAUAUACUCAGAGGAAUAUAAGUCACUCUACUAUAAACACACACGCAUGCAAAUUUUCAUUGUAGCACUAUUUACAAUAGCAAAGACAUGGAAUCAACCUAAAUGCUCAUCAAUGACAGAUCGGAUAAAGAAAAUAUGCAUCUUCAACCUUUCUGGACUACAGCACCUGCCAACUGACCCCCACAUCAUGGCUCCAACGCUGGCUUCAUCACAUAUCUUCUCUCUCAGUCCCUUUGGCUCUCAGGGUGCAAUAGCUUAACAAAAUUGCUGAUCUAGGUGCCUCAGCAUUGUUUCUUUGUCAUAGUCUCUGUAUUAUCUUAUUUUGAGCCAUUCUUUUCCUGCAAAGAUCCUAACUGAAUGAGAUAACUACUUCAUAAGCUAUUUGUAAGGUUUAAAUAAAUUAAUGCAUAUUUAAUACAUGAAGCUGUGCCUAGUUUAUAGUAAUUACUCAAAAAUGUUACUUAUUUCUCCAUCCAAAACAUACAAACAAUAGUAUAUCCUUCAUGAGGACUUCUUGUGGACUAAAAAGGCAGUAUCUUUAAAGUGUUUUGCAGUCUCUGACAAAACCACACUAUUACCCUUACUCAAGGUUUUAAUUGAUUGUAUGUACACAAGGUUAGUCUAUAUGAGCUUUGGAAAGAUGGGAAAUUCAAAGUAGAACAGUUAAGGAAGGAAAGUGUAUGUUCCACUAAUAAAAUAUAUAUUAGUUCCUGUAAUCAGAUUGUGAGUGACAAUGGAAUCCAGUGGACCCAUUUUGCCCUCAGACAGAUGGCUGAGAAAUUGCUGGUGUGGCAAGCAAGCAACUCUGACUGCAAAAUGGCAGACUCAUUUGCUUGGGGGACAGGAAUGAGGGAUGGUUCACAUGGGAAGCACAAAGUCACCCUUGAUGAAAGUUCAGAGAAGAAAGAGAUCAUCAAACUUACUCUAAUUACCAAAAGGUGAUGACAUUAGCAGAAGAAUUAGAGUUUGAAAUAGUACUUUUGGUAGAGAGGACUGAUUUCUAAGAAAGCCCAUACUCAUGAUACAAAGGCAGUUGGUGGGCCCCAAAGCAGAAUAGCUGCCUCAGGUGGGCAAGUAGCUAAAGUUCACCAAGCACUGUGUCCCAAAACUCACAUACACGCUAUACCUACCUGCAUCCCAUGAUGCCAGGAGAGCCACAUUUCUGUGGCAAGGGACAGUGAACAGAGAGGAGCCAACAUGGGAAUGAGAAACAGAGUUAUAAACAAAAAGCAAGAGAGGAACCCUCAGGGUAACAGAAUCAGUCACUC